rnacentral:rRNA from 1 species
AUUGAACGCUGGCGGCAGGCCUAACACAUGCAAGUCGAGCGGAAACGAGUUAUCUGAACCUUCGGGGAACGAUAACGGCGUCGAGCGGCGGACGGGUGAGUAAUGCCUAGGAAUUGCCCUGAUGGUGGGGGAUAACCAUUGGAAACGAUGGCUAAUACCGCAUAAUGCCGUACGGGCCAAAGAGGGGGACCUUCGGGCCUCUCGCGUCAGGAUAUGCCUAGGUGGAUUAGCUAGUUGGUGAGGUAAUGGCUCACCAAGGCGACGAUCCCUAGCUGGUCUGAGAGGAUGAUCAGCCACACUGGAACUGAGACACGGUCCAGACUCCUACGGGAGGCAGCAGUGGGGAAUAUUGCACAAUGGGCGCAAGCCUGAUGCAGCCAUGCCGCGUGUGUGAAGAAGGCCUUCGGGUUGUAAAGCACUUUCAGUCGUGAGGAAGGUGGUAGUGUUAAUAGCACUAU